rnacentral:rRNA from 1 species
GACGAACGCUGGCGGCGCGCCUAACACAUGCAAGUCGAACGGAGUCAAGAGGAGCUUGCUUUUCUUGACUUAGUGGCGAACGGGUGAGUAACGCGUGAGUAACCUGCCCUGGAGUGGGGGACAACAGUUGGAAACGACUGCUAAUACCGCAUAAGCCCACGGAUCUGCAUGGAUCUGCGGGAAAAGGAUUUAUUCGCUCUAGGGUGGACUCGCGUCCAAUUAGCUAGUUGGUGAGGUAACGGCCCACCAAGGCGACGAUUGGUAGCCGGACUGAGAGGUUGAACGGCCACAUUGGGACUGAGACACGGCCCAGACUCCUACGGGAGGCAGCAGUGGGGGAUAGUGCACAAUGGGGGAAACCCUGAUGCAGCGACGCCGCGUGGAGGAAGAAGGUUUUCGGAUUGUAAACUCCUGUCGUUAGGGACGAUAAUGACGGUACCUAACAAGAAAGCACCAGCUAACUACGUG